GUGCCCAUAGCUCAAUUGGAUAGAGUAUUUGGCUACGGACCAAAAGGUUGGGGGUUCGACUCCUCCUGGGCACGCCA
rnacentral:tRNA from 1 species